AGUAGGUGUCUACAGAUCCCGUGUUCCUUGUUGUUGGGUGUUUUUCUUUUCGGUGAUUUUGUAGUUGUUGAGCCUCUCUUCCUCUCCUCUAUUUCGUCAGUAUGGUAGGGUGGUGCGCCACCACCGCAACCCUUCUCCGUCAAUGUUGGUGUUGAUGAUGUUGUCGUCACUUUUGCUAUUGCUUCCCCUGUUUCUUUGGUUCAGAAUCACAAAGUGAUGGAGAUUAUACUUUCUAAGAAGUAGUACGGAGUUGAAGAAAGUUGGAUGGAGUUAUCAAUUCUCCGAGUUUUUGUUUGUCAAAGUUAAAGAGUGCUAGGCCGAUUGAGGUUUGUGGAGCCUUAAGCUGAAUUCUAAUGGAGCUUGAUUUUACUCAAUGGAUUUAAAUUAUGUGUUAUAUAUUAAGGUUGUAUUCAUUUAGUAUAUGAAUUGUUGUAAGUUUAAUCGGGAGGUGAAAGGU